rnacentral:rRNA from 1 species
CCUACGGGAGGCAGCAGUGAGGAAUAUUGGUCAAUGGCCGGAAGGCUGAACCAGCCAUGCCGCGUGAAGGUCAGUGCCCUAUGGGCGUUAAACUUCUUUUGUGCGGGAGCAAUAAUGGUCACGUGUGGCCAGACGAGAGUACCGUACGAAUAAGCAUCGGCUAACUCCGUGCCAGCAGCCGCGGUAAUCCGUAGGUGGCAAGUGUUAUCCGGUUUUACUGGGUGUAAAGGGCGUGUAGGCGGGACUGCAAGUCAGAUGUGAAAACCAUAGGCUCAACCGAUGGCCUGAAUUUGAAACGGUGGUUCUGGAGUACUGGAGAGGCAGACGGAAGUCCGGGGGUAGCGGUGAAAUGCGUAGAUAUUAGGAGGAACACCAGGGGCGAAGGCGGUCUGCUGGACAGCAACUGACGCUGAGGCGCGAAAGCGUGGGGAGCAAACAGGAUUAGAUACCCCAGUAGUC